AUCCAGCUGACGAUCGCCAAAUAAGAUGAAACGCGCGUCCUGGAU
rnacentral:hammerhead_ribozyme from 1 species